GGCCCCCCAAAAAGCUUACAGUUUGUCGCCCCCUGUCGGCCUCCGACCCUACUCAGCGUGUUCCCGCGGUGGGCUGGACUGGCCUGGGGGCGAGGUGAUUGAUCCAAAGGUGGGAUUGCGAAGAAAAGGAAACGUCUCUUCCACCUGUCUGGGAUGCAGCUUGGUCCCCUGCAUGACCAAAGGGACGGCGACAUGGUCGGCGCUGAGCCCGCAGAGCUGCUUCUAUUUCAUGGAUUGAACCACCUGCCUCAACACAUGUUUCUCUGCCUGCCUGUUACCACCACCUAUUGGUUCCUAGAGGAAAUGAAAAGGAGCAGUAUGCCUGAGAGUAUGUGCUUCUAUCCAAGUUUCCAAGAGGCUUCCAGCAGCAAUGAUCAUAAGAAGCCAACAUGGAAGGAAUGUGAUGUCUGAGAAAUGCUUUUGCCAACUGCUUCUGGUUCUGUCCUCCUGCCCCUCUUAAACAUUGGUAGCUUAGGGAACUCUGCAUUUGUGCAGAAAACAUAAAGACAGAGGUAAGUCCCCAAAAAGAACAUGAGUAUAGAGAGGCGAGCUAUCCACAUUUUGAGAAAACCAGUGUUCCAGGCCCAUGUUGCCAAGCACCUUGCUUCAGCAGAAUUUUUUAUCUGUAAUGUAUCUAUUAGAUUAACUGCCUUUGCCAAGGCCUAAAAUACAACCCCUUAGCAAAGCAAAAACUGCAUCCAGAUUUUUCUGUGAGGUCUCCAGCCAAUCCUUUCUCUGCAUGUUGCAUCAGCCUACGGACAGCCACCGAAGCAGAAUCUCACAUGAUAAACCAAGCUACUCUCAGAAAACACAGGUAUUUCCCAAAGUCGAAUGUAGGCUGUGUCCCAGCCCAUCAAAGGUGGAAGACUUUGCAUAGAAAAUUCUGGCCGUGAACCCAGGCUGCCAUCUCUAACCCCAACAAAAUCUGGCUAGAAGGAGCUUCAGGGAGUUGAACUCAUGAUGGCUUUCUCAGAGGGCAGAGGUCUAAAAUUGGGCCUUUCCUGUUUCCAAUUCCGAUGUCUGUCACUGCGCCUGGAAACAGCCCAGCUCUUCCCAAUUUUAAGAAAAUUCAGCGUUGACCAUUUACCACAAGAAGGUAAUUUUCAAUAAAUAAAAGACAAACUCUUUUUAGUUGCCUAUUGCUGUGUAAUAAACCACUUCACAAUAUAGUGACUUCAAACAACUUCUUAUAAAAUUAAAGCAAAUUAUUAAGUAA